rnacentral:rRNA from 1 species
CAGUAGCCGCGGGAACACGUAGGGUGCGAGCGUUAAUCGGAAUUACUGGGCGUAAAGCGUGCGCAGGCGGUUGUGUAAGACAGGUGUGAAAUCCCCGGGCUUAACCUGGGAACUGCGCUUGUGACUGCACAGCUAGAGUAUGGCAGAGGGGGGUGGAAUUCCACGUGUAGCAGUGAAAUGCGUAGAGAUGUGGAGGAACACCGAUGGCGAAGGCAGCCCCCUGGGCCAAUACUGACGCUCAUGCACGAAAGCGUGGGGAGCAAACAGGAUUAGAUACCCCCGUAGUCCCUGUCUCUUAUAA